GUGGCCUCGUGGUCAAGACGCCACGCUAGUAAGCUGGGGGUUGUGGGUUCAAACCC
rnacentral:tRNA from 1 species